rnacentral:pre_miRNA from 1 species
GAGGGCUGUUCCCACUUGUGCCUGCUAAACUGGUAUCAGUAUGUUGAUUUAGUGCUGGCUCAGUUCAGCAGGAACAGGUGUGAAGUCCUC